AACUAGCUGUGGAGCUCGAUGAACUUUGUCACCAUCCAUUCCGCCUCUUGAUAGGCUUCCAGGGGGAGGAGGUGGGGGAGGUGGUCCACCUGGUGGCGGUGGUGGCGGUGGAGCACCUGGAGGAGGAGGAGGUGGUGGUGGAGCAGAUGGUACUUCGUUGGAAGGAUUUGCAUUUGUGGUAACAGCAGCAGCAGCACCACCACCAGAUGGCUUAGGAGGAGGUCUAGGCACCCUAGUAGGCCUUUUCUCAAUGUGAGCAAGCUUCAUCUUGCUAAUACUUUGAUUAUCAACAUUCUUUCCAUCAUCAGAUUGCUCAUUCG
rnacentral:lncRNA from 1 species